rnacentral:tRNA from 1 species
GCGCCCUUAGCUCAGUGGUAGAGCGCUUGUAUCACACACAAGAGGCCGGAAGUUCGAUCCUUCCAGGGCGCA